CAAUAAGCGGAGGAAAAGAAACCAACAGGGAUUGCCCCAGUAACGGCGAGUGAAGCGGCAAAAGCUCAAAUUUGAAAUCUGGCUCCCAUUCGGGGGUCCGAGUUGUAAUUUGAAGAGGAUGCUUCGGGUGUGGCCGCGGCGUAAGUUCCUUGGAACAGGACGUCAGAGAGGGUGAGAAUCCCGUCUUAAGCCGCUGGUCCACGCCCGUUUGAAGCUCCUUCGACGAGUCGAGUUGUUUGGGAAUGCAGCUCUAAAUGGGUGGUAAAUUUCAUCUAAAGCUAAAUAUUGGCCGGAGACCGAUAGCGCACAAGUAGAGUGAUCGAAAGGUUAAAAGCACCUUGAAAAGGGAGUUAAACAGCACGUGAAAUUGUUGAAAGGGAAGCGCUUGCAACCAGAUUCGGCCGCGGGGGUUCAGCAGGCGUUCUCGCCUGUGUACUCCCCCGCGCGUCGGGCUAGCAUCAGUUCUGGCGGUUGGUUAAAGAUCUCUGGAAUGUGUCGCCCUCCGGGGCGUCUUAUAGCCAGGGGUGUAAUGCUGCCAGCCGGGACUGAGGAACGCGCUUCGGCUCGGAUGCUGGCAUAAUGGUUGUAAGCGGCCCGUCUUGAAACAC
rnacentral:rRNA from 1 species